rnacentral:rRNA from 1 species
AUUGAACGCUGGCGGCAGGCCUAACACAUGCAAGUCGAACGGGUGGCGGACGGGUGAAUAAUGUCUGGGCAACUGCCCGAUGGAGGGGGAUGACUACUGGAAACGGUAGCUAAUACCGCAUACCAUCGGAUGUGCCCAGAUGGGAUUAGCUAGUAGGUGGGGUAACGGCUCACCUAGGCGACGAUCCCUAGCUGGUCUGAGAGGAUGACCAGCCACACUGGAACUGAGACACGGUCCAGACUCCUACGGGAGGCAGCAGUGGGGAAUAUUGCACAAUGGGCGCAAGCCUGAUGCAGCCAUGCCGCGUGUAUGAAGAAGGCCUUCGGGUUGUAAAGUACUUUCAGCGGGGAGGCGUUACCCGCAGAAGAAGCACCGGCUAACUCCGUGCCAGCCGCCGCGGUAAUAC